AAAUGAUGUAGGUACUGUACAUUUCAUACUAACAAGUGAUUGUGUUUGUAUUCUGUCGUUUACAAAUUAUACGGUGUUUUCGAGGCGUUUUACCCAAAAUCAAGUUUAAGAGUCACGAAAAUUUUGAAUUAGAACAACAUGUCAUAAAUUACAUAAACGUAACCUGUUCAAAUUCAAUAAAAUGUAUGGAAGCUGUGAUUGGUCUGAAAAAUCCAUUUUCAGAAGUUGAUGGCUUAUAUUUGAGUGAAUGUCAUGCAUAUUAUUGGAAAAAAUAUUUUUUUUCAUUAACAUAUUAUUUUUUCACACUUUCAAAAAAUUGAAGAAGAAAAAAUUGGCCCAAUUAAUUCAAAACGAAAAAAAAAACAACAUUAAAUUGCAUCCACUUUCAAAAAUUGUAAAUAUUCGCGCGUUUUAUUAACCACUUUAUACACCUGGGCAUCAUCCUUCCAUCUUCUUGUACGUCCGAGAUGAUCCGAAAAAAAUCAACAUUGCCGAUGUUGCAAAACCGACGGAAGGAGUGGUCAACGCAUUGAAAAAUGUGCAAAGCAUCGGUCUCGUCUCGGACAUUGUUAUGAAUGACAUUGCACCAUGCAUCAGCAAUGAUUCAUCUGAUGUAAAUUGAUUUUUGUUGUUGUUUAUAAAUUUGAUGUUUUUUUUUUCUCUCGUUCUAACACAUCAGUUUUCUCAAAUUUAGCCGUGCUGAACGAUGAAGAGAAAAAGUCGAAUCUGGAAUUUUUGAAUUGGGUGGUGAACAAGAAGUUUUUAGUGGUGAAAAAACAAGAAAAUAUUCCCGACGAUUUGAAAAAUUGGUCCGAGGAUCAUGUGCAAAUUUGGUUGAAAUGGGCUGUCAACCAGUUUGUCUUACGUUUGCAGGAGAAUGAUUGGCGUAUAACGGGCAAGGAAUUGUGCAAAUUGUCGUUGCAUGAUUUUCAAAAGAAAAUUCCGCGCGAUCCGGGCAAUAAAUUUUUGACACACUUGGAACUAUUGCGUAAAGGUCAUUUCGUUGCCAUUCCAGUUGACCCAAAAUCGGCCGAAGCUUAGAAGACAACACGAAAGCCAUCGGCAGCGUUGGGACAAUUUCACGAUCGAAACCAGGAAAUCGUACCGGAAACAAUGGCCAGAUUCUGUUGUGGCAAUUUUUGUUGGAGAUUUUGACUGACAAAAAACAUCGCAACAUCAUCCAGUGGCAUGGCAAUGAGGGAGAAUUUAAGUUGGUUGACUCGGAUCGUGUGGCAGCACUGUGGGACAAACGCAAAAACCAGUCAACUAUAAAUUAUGGGAGAUUAUCACGUGCCUUGCGCUAUUAUUACAACGGAGACAUACUUUCGAUAGGCAAGAAAUUUGUGUACAAAUUCAUCUGCGAUUUAAAGCAAUUAACUGGAUGCAGCGCAAAACAGAUGUCCGACCUCGUUAACGGUGUUCCGAGACAGUCACGGGCACAUUAAUACCAAGAAAGUGCAACUAAUUAAGAUUAUUCAAAACUCGGAUGGCAAUUUCACAAAUCAAUUUGGAUGAAUAAAGAAAAUCAAUUCUGAAGAAUUGAAAAAGAAAA